CGGGGCUCGGCCAGGCUUGGGGCGCCGCUGGGACCGAGCGGGCCGGGCUGUGCCCGGGGAAUACCCGGGCCGGGGGUGCGGCCCCCCCCAGGAGCUGCCCCGGUGCCUGCGCGGUCGCCGUCCGGCGGCACAGCCCGUGGUGCGGGGCAGGCGGGGGCGGCGGCUCUGGCGGUGCCGAUGGGUCACCGCCCGUGUGGACCUGCCCGUGCCGGGUCCGUCCGCAUCCCCGCGGCGGGGGCGGAUUUCUGCGCCGGUGUCCCUGUGUCGGUGUGUUCCCGUGCACACGUUUUGCAGUGACUCACACACACACAGACACACACACAGACACACAGGUGCCGUUGCCAUCCAGGAAGCGCAGCUGGUUUGCCUCGCUGGCUGUUUAUUUUCAGCUCUGAGCUGGACUGUGGUUUGUUUCCGUAGGCACAGGCCAAGGCUCAGGGCUACGGUUUUUCAUCCUCGCAAGGUCCUGUGCUGCUGGGAGACGGCUUUAGAGCUGUUAACAUCCUGCGAGGGUCUUACACAGGCACCUGUGUAUGUGUGACCGUGUACUGCAUCACAAACUGGUACUUUCUCUAUGGUUUCUUUGCCUUAGUUGAGCUGCCUCUGGAAGAUUUAGACAAAUAAGGAGCAAGAAGAUAUGUAAAAGGAGAAAAUCUGGAUGAAGCCAUCCAAACAACCAAAGGUGUUAGUCAAAUUUUAGUUUACAUCAAAAUUCAUCAUGACUUUAGGAGAACAGAAGGAAGAGAACCUCUGUCAAGUUUCAAUAUAAAUAAUGAGCUGUGACUUUGGGAGCUGUAGUAGCAGGAAACUCCAGGCAGAUCUAAAAAUGAUUAAUCACAGUGAAGAAAUCAAAUGGGGAGUGUGUUUCCAGUGUGCAAAAGUGUAGUAACUUCAGGGUCUUGUCGAUAGAAAUCAAUGUACAUCUUGUGGCGUCUGACACUUCACGACAGAAAACCUGUGUGAGGGCUCUGGCAAGAACUGGCAGUGACUGGGAGCUUGUUUGGAAAAUGGCUCUAUCCCAUCCCACUCCCGAGGGCUCGCUGUGGAAGGUGACCGGCUCGGAGGAGCUCUGCUCCCCGAGGGUUUGGAGCAGCCACUAGGUGACAAUGUCGGGCUGGUUUCAGAGCCGUCUGACAAAGCUGUUCCUGGAGGCAAAGGAAACCCUCCAGGGCCUCUGAGGUCCUGCCUGUGCUCAGUUUGUGUUCUCUUACGGACUGAGAUUGCCCCUUUUCCUUCAGGUUGUAAUUACUGCUGGUUUAGUUUUGGUCUUCCAAUAAUUCAGAUUUUGGUAAGUGCAUCUGAAAAUUAAAUGACUGGUUUCUGCAGUUGCCUUGCAGACUCAGGGAAGUCAAACAUGGCCUCACUUCUAAGUGCUCUGCUGUCUUGAGGGCAGGCUUGGAUGGUGUGGCCAUUGCCACUUAGUUCUGCUGCUUUGCACUACUAUUGAUAGGAGAGGGUUACAAAGGUGGGUUUUAUUUGGAUGUGUCAGGUUCCAUAGUCCUUCUCUGUGGUCAUAAGAGACAAGGUAUGUAUCCUAGUCAAAACCUAAAUUAUUAAUUUAGAGGAAAACCCCUUUUGACUCCUAAAGAGGAGACAAGGAAAACAAUUCAAGGAGCUAUAGGGAGGCUGUGAUCCAUCCAUGCUGACACUUCCUUUCCUAGAGAUCAAGGCCAUUAAAGGGCUUCAUGAGAAUUUUUUUCCCCUGGACUAAGAUGAAUGCCCUGGAUUUCCUAUUCCUUAAUAUUCUUCCAAGGGAAGAGGCCUCAAUCCACUUUUUCCAGACAAUGUCCUUAUGAAAUCAGCACCAUUCCACUCCCAGCUGCAGGUUGUCCAAGGCCUGGUGGUCAGACGAGGAAGUGCCAAGCAAACCCAAAUGAAUCGACCGAGCUUCUGGGAGGCAGCUCAGAUUUAUUUGCCUACAGUGCCCUUGCCAUGGCAGUCGGGAGCUGUGCCUGCUGCAGUGACAUCAGCACUGCUGCCCGGGGUGUCAUAGUUUGAAAUUGGCCCCCUUGAGAGUUCGAGGGGCUCAGAGGUGUUUGGGUGCCAGGGCAGUGUUCCCUGGAGAGCCAGUCACUGUCCAUGUCGUUCGCUUCUGCUCAAAAUCACAUAUCACAGCACGGGAAGCUGUUGGCAGGGCAGUCUCGGUUGUUUUGCUGUUCGUGUCUGCUGCCUGUAGGUGGACAAGGCCAGGGGGUGGCUGGGCUCCCUCUCUUCCCCUCCGGGGGGGAGAGGGGAGCCCUGCGACCCCCCAGCUCAGCCUUUGGCUAGAGUUAGAGUCAGCAUUUGGAGUGUGUGCUGUGAAGGAAGGGAUUCACAGCACCUGAGGUAAGAGGAGAGAGGCAGGCUUUGCAGCCCAGCCUUCUUCCCCCUCCAGAAAAGGUUCUGCAGUGAAGAUGUAGAGGAGGGCUUUUCUUUCCCUCCACUGUGAGUGGAGGAGGGGCUCAGAGUUGAGCUGAGCGAGGAGACUGGGCCGUGGAGGUAGGUCUGGCACUCGGGAGGAGUCCCAGGUGAAAUUGGAGAUGAGCCAAGAGCUCGAGGGUUGCUGCUGAAGCUGAGCGGGGGCAGCCGAGAACUGAUGUGGAGGAAGGAAGAUUCCAGGCCGUGGGCGCUUGAUAAGCUGCACUGCAGCAGCCUACGGACCGAGGUGGGACACCGAGAGGGAGAUCACCAGCAGCAGGAGAGCAAGGACUCAAAGCUAUCUUCUUGGACUUCAUGAGGAGGAGAGACUACAACAAACAACUGCUGGACUUGGUGAGGAGGGGAGUGUUCAGGAGCCCAGAACACUCCCACAGCAAAAGACUGUGUUACAUGUCAGCCUUAAAGGCUGCUCCUGGACUAAAGUUAAAGGAGGGGCUUGAAAGGACUGACUGAUAGCAAUGUAAUAUAUAUAUAUAUAUAUAUAUAUAUG